GUCCACGCCCUAAACGAUGAGUGUUGACUGUUGGAAGCUUUUCGGAGUUUUCGGUGGUUAAGCUAACGUGUUAAACACUCCGCCUGGGGAGUACGGUCGCAAGAUUAAAACUUAAAGGAAUUGACGGGGACCCGCACAAGUGGUGGAGCAUGUCGUUUAAUUCGAAGAUACGCGAAGAACCUUACCGACCCUUGACAUCCUGAUCGCGAAUUCCAGAAAUGGUUUUCUUCAGUUCGGCUGGAUCAGUGACAGACGCUGCAUGGUU
rnacentral:rRNA from 1 species